GCUGAAUUAGUUUAAUUUAAAAAUAUAAUGUUUGGGUCAUUUAGAUUUAUUUUUCAGUU
rnacentral:tRNA from 1 species